AUUGAACGCUGGAGGCAGGCCUAACACAUGCAAGUCGAACGAGUGGCGGACGGGUGAGUAAUGUCUGGGAAACUGCCUGAUGGAGGGGGAUAACUACUGGAAACGGUAGCUAAUACCGCAUACCAUCGGAUGUGCCCAGAUGGGAUUAGCUAGUAGGUGGGGUAAAGGCUCACCUAGGCGACGAUCCCUAGCUGGUCUGAGAGGAUGACCAUCCACACUGGAACUGAGCCACGGUCCAGACUCCUACGGGCGGCAGCAGUGGGGAAUAUUGCACAAUGGGCGCAAGUCUGAUGCAGCCAUGCCUCGUGUAUGAAGAAGGCCUUCGGUUUUUAAAGUACUUACAGCGGGGAGGCGUUACCCGCAGAGGAAGCACCGGCUAACUCCGUGCCAGCAGCCGCGGUAAUUC
rnacentral:rRNA from 1 species